rnacentral:miRNA from 1 species
CAGCCCCUUAGUUGAGAGUCCCUACUCCAGGGAAAUACAAAACCCCAAGACCCUAACCUUAAAGGGGCGGCA